CCCUUUUCAAUCAAAAGCAGACCUCCACAUUGAAAAUGCGAGAGUGAAAAGGAAUCACUUUCGACUACCCUUCAGUCCCUCUCAAUGCUUUUUACUUUUAAGAAAGUCCAGUAAGGAAAAGGGAGGAAAGAAGUGAGAAAUAAGUGAAUCUUUUGUUUGGUUUUGUAAAGCAAACAUAACAAAGCUAUUUCCUUUGUACAAAACCCUUCCGUUUCUUUGAGUCUAAGUUUUGUCAAGGAUGAAAAUGGAAGCUGAAACUGAAGCUAGCAGCUCAGUUCCUGCAGAUUCCAAGUCUGGAGGAUAUUCUGAAGUAGACGAAAGAAGGAAAAUUCUGUCCGAAGGAGAGGAGAGAUGCCGGGUAAAAGAGAUUUGAAGCCGGAGAAGAAAGAAAAGAAGAAGCUAAGAAGAGGAAGCCAAAGAAAGAUAAGAGGAAGCUGAAGAAGAGAAGAAUGGGGCUUGUAAAAGUUUGCGACUCUUAAAUUUUAUUCAAUUCAACAAAACUUAUUAACAUUUAGAAAAAAAGAGUAACAUACAAAUCCUAAGAUUCUAACUAGAAUAAGGAUUAUAACCCCCUAAUAAAAUAUCCAACAAUAAUUAAAUUAAACCCACUAAACAAACCUAAAUAAAAUCCAAUAAACAAGGGUUGAGCUCUCCCUUGUCAUCAUAGAUCAUACAAACAUGUUAAACAUGUCUCGGCCUAAUAUCCUCACCAACUCUCCUGGGGUUGGAAAAACUUGACCCCGUCAAGUAUAAAUCAAAACUGCUCUAAUAAUGCUUCCAAAAUAAGGAUCAAGCUAUUAUGAUGUCUCUUUGGUAAUUCAUGUAUGGUAUGAUUCUGGUCGUCUAACUUAUAUACUAAGAUUCAUUAAAGUUUAA